GUUAUCAAAUAUUUACUAUUAAAAUCAUUAAUUGUCAAAUAAAUAUUUUAUUCACUUUUGGUAAUUGUGUAGUUUUUAUUUAAGGAAAUGAAAAACUAUUAAUUGUAUAUUUUUAAUUAUUUUUUUUGUUAAGUUAAUUAGAAGUAUAUAAUAUAUGUUUAGUGAACCAACAUAUUUUCUAGAGAAUUUAAAAGAUAUUUUAGUGAUGACACGUACCAACCAUAGCUAAAAUGUUGUAAUGUUUUUCUUUUAGUACAUAGGGGAUGAUCAAAAAAGAAAGAAGGUGAAACCAAUGACUGAAUUUCGGAGAAAACCUAUCACAAUUUUUAUUCCUUCAUCUAUUGUGUGAUAAUGUUUUAUACUUUUUCUGUAUUUGAAAAACUGAUAUUUAAGGUUUCACCAAAAUUUUAAAUCUACUCUUUUGAUUAUUACUUUUUGGUUUCAGCAAUAAAGCUUCAACAUUUAUGAUUUAGUUUUUAAAUAAUUGUAAACUAGGCUCUGCAUAUAUUCUGUUUAACUUCCGAUUUUUGGCAAUUUAGUAAGUCCAGAAUUACUGUCAAAUUAGCGCUUAGUGUAGUUACAUAUUCUAUUUUUUAUUGGUUUAAUCUUUUUUUUUUCUGGUAACGGUAAUGGAUUUUCUCUUUAUAAUGCAGAUCUACGAAAAAGGAAAAAAAAUGCUAUUGUUCAUAGUAGGCCUAGUCCAUAGGUCCUCAUUUUUAUAAAACCCAACCCAUAUUCUGGGAUGUAAUCAUGUAACUGAAUUUGGUUAGAACUGACGAACCCUAGUUACUGAUGAUGUGAAAGGUGAACUAGUGGGUAAGUACUUAGGCUACAUAACUCUAGGUAUCUCAUAUAAUACCAAAAAUGUAUGGUUUGUGGCCCAUAAGCUCGUGUUGGUGCGGUUAUUAGGUUUUCUUGCCCAUAAAUGCGUGUUGGUACUUGUUAAUAGGCUACAGCUGAUUUGAACAAUCUUUGUAGUUAAGGUAUUUGAAUACAAAUAUAUAAAGAUAAGAGAGCAUUAUUAGUUAGGAUAAAGGUGAAUUGGACUUCCACUUUGGCUCCUCUUUCAGCCUGUCUUACUUCCCAUAUAUUUUUCCUUUACGAACAUUUUUAUCGUUCCCUAAUUACAUUUGAAUUACACUCUCCACUAAUAAAAGUAUCAUUUUGACAUUUUAUGUAAAGUAAGAAAACGAUUAAAAUGCGAUUAUGUCUUGUUAGUUACACACAUUUAAUCAAUAUUCAAUAGUAGUUGAAAUAAAUAAAAUAAUUUAUAUAAUUAAUGCAUUUUGUAUUUAAUUAUAAACUUAAAGUAAAUAUAAAUCACACUGAAAUUCCAAAAUAAUAUGUUUAUAACAAAAAGUGUCAAAAUAACACUCCUUGUAAAACAAAAAGGAGUAAUAUUUUAGUAUUCUUAUCAGUGAAAACAUGAGUUAUGUUUAAUACAAGUUUGGAUACAAUUCCUUAAUCAAGGUUUUUGAAACUUUCCGUUACUAGAAUAUCAUUUUUAGAUUUGCAAUUCAAAGUACUUUUAAAAGUAAAAUUCUGGUUUAUUUUAUAUUUAUUAUUCUCCAUCCUUCACAUAUAUCAUGCGAAUUUUAGUUAUACAUUCAUUGUUUGUCUUUUAAUAAUCGACUAGAGUUUGAUCUGCAUGCCUAUGCAGGUGUUUUUUUAUUUUUAAUAUUUACUAAUAUUUUUAAUGGAUAUUUUAAAAGUGUUAUUAUAAUAUUUGUUCUCUUUUUAUAGAAAGAGUGUCAUUUUAGAAUUUCAAUGCAAAAUAUAACUACUUUCAACUUAAUAUCAGUUGCAAACUCAAUAAAUCUUAUAAAUAAUUUGAUUUAUCUCAAAUAAUAUUUGUCAAAUACAAAAUAACUAAUAUGAACAUAAAUUUUCUUAAUCUGUGUUAAAAAUAUCAAUGUGACACUUUUUAAGACAAUUUUAAGAAAAGGAUUGAGUAAUUGUGCCCACAAUAUUAUUAAUUAGUUAGGGAAAUUGCCACAAAUAUCACUUUCAAUGUACCACUUUUCAUUAAUACCUUGACCAACUUUACCAUUAAAAUUUUAAUAGGCAAAAUACAAUUAUACCCCUAUCUAAUUAAAACUACAACUAUUAUGUUCUUCUCCACUAUCCGAUAAUCAAUCCGACGAGAUCCGGUGAUUCUGACGAGUUUUCCGGCGAGCUUUGACAACGAAGACGAGUUCUCUUGCGAAAUCUGACGAUGCUGAUUAGUUCUCUGGCGAAACACGAAUGAGACGAUCUCUCUCCUGAUGCUGAUGAGUUUCCGGUGAGAUCUGACGACGCUAACGAGUUUUCCGGCGAGAUCUGACGAUGCCGAGAAGUUCUCCGGCAAAGCUGACAGACUCAACAAGCUCAGACGAACGAGACGAUCUCUCCCCCAACGCCUAAGAAACACUAAAAAAGGUAAGAUGAUAGUAUAUGGUGAUUUUUGCCUCUUUCUGUAAUUUUAGCUUGAUUUAUCAAAAUCGAUAUGUUUCUAAGAAAGAAGACGAAGUUUUUCAAGUGAAGUUUUCAGAUCUCAAAUUUAUAAGAUCUUAUAAAUUGGGUCCUUUCAAAUCUUACUGUUGAUCUGUUAGCAAUCAAAAGACACAAAGCUUAACGUAAGAGUACAAUUAUUGAUUUGGUUGAUUUAUUGUCAUAGUUUUCAGAUUUAUAUAAUUAUUUAAUUCAUGAGAAGGUACUAACCUAAGAGUAUAAUUAUUCCAUUACUUCUUCUCUUGGUUGAUUUGGUGAUGUUGCAGAGAAUUACAAAUGUGUGUUGUCAGCUUUUGGAUUUAAAAGAUGUUGUGGAGAAUAUGUGUGGUGAUAUGCAUAUCUAAGUAUCUCACUUCCUUAAGAUUUUGAAAAUUUACGAGGUUGGUGAGCUGUUUGAAGAGGCAAGAGAGACUCUGAAGAAGAAUGUGGUUUGUGCUAUCAAAGAAUUACGUAUUUAUAACGCUUUAUAAAAGUUGCAGAGUUGGCUUCUUAGUAUAUUCUUCUCUCUCAUCUUCUUUAGACAUCUCUUAUACUAAAACAAUUGUAUCUCUCUUUUAGUAGUUGCAUAGUUGAAGAUAUUAGUUGGACAUGUAAGUGAGUUUGGUUUCAA